GCACUCCCUUCAGCAGCACAGAUACUAAAAUUGGAACCAUACAGAGAUUAGCAUGGCCCCUGCACAAGGAUGACAGACAAAUCCAUGAAGCAGUCCAUAAAUAA
rnacentral:snRNA from 1 species